rnacentral:tRNA from 1 species
CGACUCAGACGACACCCAAACUGCAAAUUUGGAGAAGAACUUUGGUUCCUGGGUCU